CCCAGACUCCUACGGGAGGCAGCAGUGGGGGAUAUUGCACAAUGGGGGGAACCCUGAUGCAGCGACGCCGCGUGGGUGAAGGAGCGUUUCGGCGCGUAAAGCCCUAUCGGCAGGGAAGAAGGAGGACGGUACCUGACUAAGAAGCCCCGGCUAACUACGUGCCAGCAGCCGCGGUAAUACGUAGGGGGCAAGCGUUAUCCGGAUUUACUGGGUGUAAAGGGGGCGCAGACGGCAGCGCAAGCCAGGAGUGAAAGCCCGGGGCCCAACCCCGGGACUGCUCUUGGAACUGCGCGGCUGGAGUGCAGGAGGGGCAGGCGGAAUUCCUGGUGUAGCGGUGAAAUGCGUAGAUAUCAGGAGGAACACCGGUGGCGAAGGCGGCCUGCUGGACUGCGACUGACGUUGAGGCCCGAAAGCGUGGGGAGCAAACAGGAUUAGAUACCCCAGUAUUA
rnacentral:rRNA from 1 species